rnacentral:rRNA from 1 species
ACGCACGCUGGCGGCGUGCUUAACACAUGCAAGUCGAACGGAAAGGCCCUGCUUUUGUGGGGUGCUCGAGUGGCGAACGGGUGAGUAACACGUGAGUAACCUGCCCUUGACUUUGGGAUAACUUCAGGAAACUGGGGCUAAUACCGGAUAGGAGCUCCUGCUGCAUGGUGGGGGUUGGAAAGUUUCGGCGGUUGGGGAUGGACUCGCGGCUUAUCAGCUUGUUGGUGGGGUAGUGGCUUACCAAGGCUUUGACGGGUAGCCGGCCUGAGAGGGUGACCGGCCACAUUGGGACUGAGAAACGGCCCAGACUCCUACGGGAGGCAGCAGUGGGGAAUAUUGCACAAUGGGCGGAAGCCUGAUGCAGCAACGCCGCGUGCGGGAUGACGGCCUUCGGGUUGUAAACCGCUUUCGCCUGUGACGAAGCGUGAGUGACGGUAAUGGGUAAAGAAGCACCGGCUAACUACGUG